UACAGAGGUCUCAAGCGUUGUUCGGAAUCACUGGGCGUAAAGGGUGUGUAGGCGGCGUGAAAAGUCAGAUGUGAAAUCUGGGGGCUCAACCUUCAAAUAGCAUCCGAUACUGUCAUGCUGGAGGUCUGUAGAGGAGUCUGGAAUUCUCGGUGUAGCAGUGAAAUGCGUAGAGAUCGAGAGGAACACUUGUUGCGAAAGCGAGACUCUGGGCAGAAACUGACGCUGAAACACGAAGGCCAGGGUAGCGAACGGG
rnacentral:rRNA from 1 species